UGAGCAAUCUGCCCUUCUCUUUGGAAUAAGCGUUGGAAACGACGUCUAAUGCCGAAUACGACCUCCUUUCGCAUGAUCGGAGGUGGAAAGCUCCGGCGGAGAAGGAUGAGCUCGCGGCCUAUCAGCUAGUUGGUGUGGGUAACGGCCCACCAAGGCGACGAUCAGUAGCCGGCCUGAGAGGGUGAACGGCCACAUUGGGACUGAGACACGGCCCAAAACUCCUACGGGAGG
rnacentral:rRNA from 1 species